CGGGUGAGUAACGCGUGGUAACCUGCCCUAUACAGGGGGAUAACAACCAGAAAUGGUUGCUAAUACCGCAUAAGCGCACAGGACCGCAUGGUCUGGUGUGAAAAACUCCGGUGGUAUAGGAUGGACCCGCGUUGGAUUAGCCAGUUGGCAGGGUAACGGCCUACCAAAGCGACGAUCCAUAGCCGGCCUGAGAGGGUGAACGGCCACAUUGGGACUGAGACACGGCCCAGACUCCUACGGGAGGCAGCAGUGGGGAAUAUUGCACAAUGGGGGAAACCCUGAUGCAGCGACGCCGCGUGAAGGAAGAAGUAUCUCGGUAUGUAAACUUCUAUCAGCAGGGAAGAUAGUGACGGUACCUGACUAAGAAGCCCCGGCUAACUACGUGCCAGCAGCCGCGGUAAUACGUAGGGGGCAAGCGUUAUCCGGAUUUACUGGGUGUAAAGGGAGCGUAGACGGAUUAGCAAGUCUGAUGUGAAAGGCAGGGGCUCAACCUCUGGACUGCAUUGGAAACUGCCAGUCUUGAGUGCCGGAGAGGUAAGCGGAAUUCCUAGUGUAGCGGUGAAAUGCGUAGAUAUUAGGAGGAACACCAGUGGCGAAGGCGGCUUACUGG
rnacentral:rRNA from 1 species